GAGUUUAUAAUAUUUUUAGUAUGGACCGCUGUUACCGGUUAGGUUAACUUCU
rnacentral:tRNA from 1 species